rnacentral:rRNA from 1 species
UUAAUUGAAGAGUUUGAUCAUGGCUCAGAUUGAACGCUGGCGGCAGGCCUAACACAUGCAAGUCGAGCGGCAGCACAGAGGAACUUGUUCCUUGGGUGGCGAGCGGCGGACGGGUGAGUAAUGCCUGGGAAAUUGCCCGGUAGAGGGGGGAUAACCAUUGGAAACGAUGGCUAAUACCGCAUAACCUCGCAAGAGCAAAGCAGGGGACCUUCGGGCCUUGCGCUACCGGAUAUGCCCAGGUGGGAUUAGCUAGUUGGUGAGGUAAGGGCUCACCAAGGCGACGAUCCCUAGCUGGUCUGAGAGGAUGAUCAGCCACACUGG